rnacentral:rRNA from 1 species
UACGAGAGGCCCAAACGUUAUUCGGAUUUACUGGGCUUAAAGAGUUCGUAGGCGGCGCAGAAAGUAGGGUGUGAAAGCCCUCGGCUCAACCGAGGAAUUGCGCUUUAAACUACUGUGCUUGAGCCACCUAGGGGCAACUGGAACAAGCGGUGGAGCGGUGAAAUGCGUAGAUAUCGGAAGGAACACCAGUGGCGAAAGCGGCUUCCUGGUCCAGCACCGACGUUCAGGCACGAAAGCGUGGGGAGCAAACAGGG